GAUGAACGCUGGCGGCGUGCCUAAUACAUGCAAGUCGAGCGAACGGACGAGAAGCUUGCUUUUCUGAUGUUAGCGGCGGACGGGUGAGUAACACGUGGAUAACCUACCUAUAAGACUGGGAUAACUUCGGGAAACAGGAGCUAAUACCGGAUAAUAUUUUGAACCGCAUGGUUCAAAAGUGAAAGACGGUCUUGCUGUCACUUAUAGCUGGAUCCGCGCUGCAUUAGCUAGUUGGUAAGGUAACGGCUUACCAAGGCAACGAUGCAUAGCCGACCUGAGAGGGUGAUCGGCCACACUGGAACUGAGACACGGUCCAGACUCCUACGGGAGGCAGCAGUAGGGAAUCUUCCGCAAUGGGCGAAAGCCUGACGGAGCAACGCCGCGUGAGUGAUGAAGGUCUUCGGAUCGUAAAACUCUGUUAUUAGGGAAGAACAGAUGUGUAAGUAACUGUGCACAUCUUGACGGUACCUAAUCAGAAAGCCACGGCUAACUACGUG
rnacentral:rRNA from 1 species